UCGGCCAAGACCCAUGGAAAUUAAGUACCUUAAAUCUUGUUCCAAAAAUUGUUUUCUUGUAGUAUUCCUACCAAUUCAAGUACCCUCUACAACGUGGUAUAAUUAUUUCGGAAGAUGGUUCAUCCGUUUCAUCGUUUCCGCACUUUGGUUAAGUGAAGAAGAUUGGAGAAAAAGAUUUUGGAUGAAACGGGAAGUGAACUUGGAAAGGCGUAAAAAGCAUAAAAGGUACAGACGACAGAUUUGCUGACCCGCCUUCCUAGGACAUCUAUUCUGCUAUUUUGGGAGUGCUCUUUUGUCCAGAGCCUAUAUGUUGGUACAGUCUGCUGCUAUUGUAUAUAUGUAUGCUAUUCAGGGGUAUGACGGGGCCCUGUCCCGUCUUGUGAUUCUGUUAUAAUCUGUAGAGGUCUGUAGACAUACUUGUGUGGGUUCUGUAUAUGUUUUGGGAUGAUAUGAUCUGUGACAGCCUUAUCGGCUCCCAUGUACUA